rnacentral:rRNA from 1 species
GAUGAACGCUGGCGGCGUGCUUAACACAUGCAAGUCGAACGGUGAAGGCGGAGCUUGCUCUGCUGGAUCAGUGGCGAACGGGUGAGUAACACGUGAGCAAUCUGCCCCUGACUCUGGGAUAAGCGCUGGAAACGGCGUCUAAUACUGGAUACGAGCUGCGAAGGCAUCUUCAGCAGCUAGAAAGAAUUUCGGUCAGGGAUGAGCUCGCGGCCUAUCAGCUUGUUGGUGAGGUAAUGGAUCACCAAGGCGUCGACGGGUAGCCGGCCUGAGAGGGUGACCGGCCACACUGGGACUGAGACACGGCCCAGACUCCUACGGGAGGCAGCAGUGGGGAAUAUUGCACAAUGGGCGAAAGCCUGAUGCAGCAACGCCGCGUGAGGGACGACGGCCUUCGGGUUGUAAACCUCUUUUAGCAGGGAAGAAGCGAAAGUGACGGUACCUGCAGAAAAAGCGCCGGCUAACUACGUG